ACGCUCGACACCUACGGGGGGCAGCAGUGGGGAAUAUUGCACAAUGGGGGAAACCCUGACGCAGCGACGCCGCGUGGAGGAAGAAGGUCUUCGGAUUGUAAACUCCUGUUGUUGGGGAAAAAGAGGAUGGUACCCAACAAGGAAGUGACGGCUAACUACGUGCCAACAGCCGCGGUAAUCUGAGCGGGCUGGCAAGGC
rnacentral:rRNA from 1 species